GUCGAACGGUAACAGGCCGCAAGGUGCUGACCAGUGGCGAACGGGUGAGUAAUGCAUCCGAACGUGCCCAGUCCUGGGGGAUAACGCAGCGAAAGCUGCGCUAAUACCGCAUACCAUCUAUGGAUGAAAGCGGGGGACCGUAAGGCCUCCCGCGAUUGGAGCGGCCGAUGUCAGAUUAGGUAGUUGGUGGGGUAAAGGCUCACCAAGCCAACGAUCUGUAGCUGGUCUGAGAGGACGACCAGCCCCCCUGGAACUGAGACACGGUCCAGACUCCUACGGGAGGCAGCAGUGGGGAAUUUUGGACAAUGGGCGCCAGCCUGAUCCAGCAAUGCCGCGUGCAGGAAGAAGGCCUUCGGGUUGUAAACUGCUUUUGUACGGAACGAAACGGUCUGAGUUAAUACCUCGGGCUAAUGACGGUACCGUAAGAAUAAGCACCGGCUAACUACGUGCCAGCAGCCGCGGUAAUACGUAGGGUGCAAGCGUUAAUCGGAAUUACUGGGCGUAAAGCGUGCGCAGGCGGUGAUGUAAGACAGUCGUGAAAUCCCCGGGCUCAACCUGGGAAUUGCGAUUGUGACUGCAUCGCUGGAGUGCGGCAGAGGGGGAUGGAAUUCCGCGUGUAGCAGUGAAAUGCGUAGAUAUGCGGAGGAACACCGAUGGCGAAGGCAAUCCCCUGGGCCUGCACUGACGCUCAUGCACGAAAGCGUGGGGAGCAAACAGGAUUAGAUACCCUGGUAGUCCACGCCCUAAACGAUGUCAACUGGUUGUUGGG
rnacentral:rRNA from 1 species